UACGUAGGCAUCAAGCGUUGUUCGGAGUUACUGGGCGUAAAGGGUGUGUAGGCGGUUGUUUAAGUUUGGUGUGAAAUCUCCCGGCUCAACUGGGAGGGUGCGCCGAAUACUGAAUGACUAGAGUGCGGGAGAGGAAAGUGGAAUUCCUGGUGUAGCGGUGAAAUGCGUAGAUAUCAGGAGGAACACCGGUGGUGUAGACGGCUUUCUGGACCGUAACUGACGCUGAGACACGAAAGCGUGGGUAGCAAACAGG
rnacentral:rRNA from 1 species